GCUCUUCAGAAGGCUUGGGACUGGUAGGAAAGAACUUUUCUCAUAUAAGUAAGUAUGACUGUCUUUUUUCAAAUCUAGAUAUUGCAUGGGCAGAAAUGGGCUUCCCGCUGUUUUCUCUGUGAGUGGGUUUAUACAUUAUUGCAGCAGUGAACAAAAGAGAUCCUCUUAUGCACCAUUCUCUUCAUUGAGUGGAGGAUUUGGCAAGUUUUCUAGAUUAUGUCAAUGUACCUUCUUUUCUCCGUCAACACACAGGUUGAUUGCUAGGAAGCUUGGAGCUGCUUCUGAGGAUGUUCAGCAAGUUACAUCAGCAGAAUGCCCCUAAACCAUGACAACAUCCUUAUGUGUGGACUGGGAUGAGUUUUAUGAGUUACAACAAGCACGUAUGGAUAUAAUGAUGGUGUCUUUUAUGAUUCACCCUGACCAUUCCUUUGUGACUCCUCCCCUCAAAAACAUUCAGCGACUCAGAGUGGCAUUCCUAACAUCUUUGACACCUUGACUGGGUCAUUUAUUAUAACACCCUUUCCCCCCAGCCCUGCCAUGUGAUAAAAUUGUUUUCAUGUAAUAAAUAACAAGCAACAUAAU
rnacentral:lncRNA from 1 species